GGUCUCACUUCACCCAGGCUGGAAUGCAGUGGUGUGAUCACAGCUCACUAUAGUCUCGAUCUCCUGGGCCUCCCACAUCAGCCUUAUCACUCAUUCUGGGGGCAGCCCUCUGGCAUGUAAUGAGCAGUCCUAUGGAGAGGCCCAUGUGACAGUAGCCAUGCGAGUGACACUGGAAGUGAAACCUGCAGCUCCAGUCAAGCCUUUAGAAGACUGCAGCCCUGGCUGACAGCUUGACAGCAAACUCAUGAGAGACUCUCAGCUUGAACAACUCAGCUAAACUGUUCCUGGGUUCCUGGUCCUCAAAAACUGUUAAGAAAAAAUUUCAGCUGCAUACAUGUACUAACUUUCAUGAAAAAGAAAGAAUAGCUAAGCAUGGUGACUCACUCCUGUAACCCCAGCACUUUGGGAGGACAAGGUGGGAAGACCACUUGAGCCCAGGAGUUUGAAUCAGCCUGGGCAACAUAGCAAGACUCUGUCUCUUUUUAAAAAAGGAUGACUCUGAAGGGGAAGCUAAAAGCCUCAGAGAAUAACUCAUGCGUAGAAAUAGGACUAAAUCCUAAGGCGAUUCCAACAUUUGCCUGGCUGGAUUUCAGAGCUGCUAUGGGGACAUAGUAGUGUGUCCAGUACCUUUCCUUUUUGAAUAUUAAUGCAUAUAGUGUUUAUUCCUGUUCCACCAUUGUGUGUUUGGGGUGUGUGUGUGUGUGUGUGUGUGUCUAUGUGUGUGCGUGUUAGUUUCAGAUUGAGAGGAAUUAUACCCAAGGAGCUAGAGUUAAGAAAUUAUACCUAAGGAACCUCUUGUGUACCUGGUCCUGAUUUAAAUGACAAGACUCUAGACUUUGAGUUGAUGCUGUAAUGAGACAAGAAUUUUAGAAAUGUUGAGAUGGAGUGGACGUGUUUUGCAUGUUGGAGGGACUUGAUUCACUGGAGCCUAGAAGGCAGACUAUGGUAGCCAGCCCUCAAGAUUGUCUCCUCCUGGUAUUCAUACCCUUGUAUAAUUCCCCUCCCACAUUGUACCAGAAUUUAUCUGUGUGACAGAAUAUGGCAGAAGUAAUGAUAUGUCACUUCUGAGAUUAGGUUAUAAAAGACAUUGUGGCUACCAUCUCUCAUCACUCACUCAAAGGGAAGCCAACCACCAUGCAAUGAGAAUCUCAGGUAAUGAGGACCUGAGACCUGUUGUCAAUCACGUGAAUAAGCUUGGGAGGAGAUUCUCCAGCCCCAGUCAAGCCUCAGAAGACUUCAGCCCUAGGUGACAGCUUGAUGAUAAUCUCGGGAGGCAGAACCACCCAACUAAGCCACUCCUGGAUUCCUGACCCUGACCCUGACCCUAGAAACAGUGUGAGCUGGAAUUCUGUGAAGCACAUGACCUCAAGUCUUUGGAUAAAUGGAAACGCAGCUUAUGCCGGAAAGAUGGAAGGCUGGCUGUACUAAUAUCAGAAAUGGAAGAGGAGAGACAUCACUAGAGAUCCCAUGGAUAUUGAAAGGAUAAUAAAGGAGUAUUAUGAGCAUUGUUAUAUUUUAUGUCUCCUAUAAGCUGUAAAUUCCUACAUAGCAAGAA
rnacentral:lncRNA from 1 species